rnacentral:tRNA from 1 species
UAGCUCAGUUGGUAGAGCAGCUGACUCUUAAUCAGCGGGUCGCAGGUUCGAAUCCUGCACGGCUCACCA